rnacentral:misc_RNA from 1 species
AAGUCGUAACAAGGUCUCCGUUGGUGAACCAGCGGAGGGAUCAUUACCGAGUUUACAACUCCCAAACCCAUGUGAACAUACCUAUUGUUGCUUCGGCGGGAUUGCCCCGGGCGCCUCGUGUGCCCCGGAUCAGGCGCCCGCCUAGGAAACUCAACUCUUGUUUUAUUUUGGAAUCUUCUGAGUAGUUUUUACAAAUAAAUAAAAACUUUCAACAACGGAUCUCUUGGUUCUG